UGUGAGCUCGAUGAGUAGGGCGGGACACGUGGUAUCCUGUCUGAAUAUGGGGGGACCAUCCUCCAAGGCUAAAUACUCCUGACUGACCGAUAGUGAACCAGUACCGUGAGGGAAAGGCGAAAAGAACCCCGGCGAGGGGAGUGAAAAAGAACCUGAAACCGUGUACGUACAAGCAGUGGGAGCCUCUUAAUGGGGUGACUGCGUACCUUUUGUAUAAUGGGUCAGCGACUUAUAUUCUGUAGCAAGGUUAACCGAAUAGGGGAGCCGAAGGGAAACCGAGUCUUAACUGGGCGUUAAGUUGCAGGGUAUAGACCCGAAACCCGGUGAUCUAGCCAUGGGCAGGUUGAAGGUUGGGUAACACUAACUGGAGGACCGAACCGACUAAUGUUGAAAAAUUAGCGGAUGACUUGUGGCUGGGGGUGAAAGGCCAAUCAAACCGGGAGAUAGCUGGUUCUCCCCGAAAGCUAUUUAGGUAGCGCCUCGUGAAUUCAUCUCCGGGGGUAGAGCACUGUUUCGGCAAGGGGGUCAUCCCGACUUACCAACCCGAUGCAAACUGCGAAUACCGGAGAAUGUUAUCACGGGAGACACACGGCGGGUGCUAACGUCCGUCGUGAAGAGGGAAACAACCCAGACCGCCAGCUAAGGUCCCAAAGUCAUGGUUAAGUGGGAAACGAUGUGGGAAGGCCCAGACAGCCAGGAUGUUGGCUUAGAAGCAGCCAUCAUUUAAAGAAAGCGUAAUAGCUCACUGGUCGAGUCGGCCUGCGCGGAAGAUGUAACGGGGCUAAACCAUGCACCGAAGCUGCGGCAGCGACACUAUGUGUUGUUGGGUAGGGGAGCGUUCUGUAAGCCUGUGAAGGUGGCCUGUGAGGGUUGCUGGAGGUAUCAGAAGUGCGAAUGCUGACAUAAGUAACGAUAAAGCGGGUGAAAAGCCCGCUCGCCGGAAGACCAAGGGUUCCUGUCCAACGUUAAUCGGGGCAGGGUGAGUCGACCCCUAAGGCGAGGCCGAAAGGCGUAGUCGAUGGGAAACAGGUUAAUAUUCCUGUACUUGGUGUUACUGCGAAGGGGGGACGGAGAAGGCUAUGUUGGCCGGGCGACGGUUGUCCCGGUUUAAGCGUGUAGGCUGGUUUUCCAGGCAAAUCCGGAAAACCAAGGCUGAGGCGUGAUGACGAGGCACUACGGUGCUGAAGCGACAAAUGCCCUGCUUCCAGGAAAAGCCUCUAAGCAUCAGGUAACAUCAAAUCGUACCCCAAACCGACACAGGUGGUCAGGUAGAGAAUACCAAGGCGCUUGAGAGAACUCGGGUGAAGGAACUAGGCAAAAUGGUGCCGUAACUUCGGGAGAAGGCACGCUGAUAUGUAGGUGAAGCGACUUGCUCGUGGAGCUGAAAUCAGUCGAAGAUACCAGCUGGCUGCAACUGUUUAUUAAAAACACAGCACUGUGCAAACACGAAAGUGGACGUAUACGGUGUGACGCCUGCCCGGUGCCGGAAGGUUAAUUGAUGGGGUUAGCGGUAACGCGAAGCUCUUGAUCGAAGCCCCGGUAAACGGCGGCCGUAACUAUAACGGUCCUAAGGUAGCGAAAUUCCUUGUCGGGUAAGUUCCGACCUGCACGAAUGGCGUAAUGAUGGCCAGGCUGUCUCCACCCGAGACUCAGUGAAAUUGAACUCGCUGUGAAGAUGCAGUGUACCCGCGGCAAGACGGAAAGACCCCGUGAACCUUUACUAUAGCUUGACACUGAACAUUGAGCCUUGAUGUGUAGGAUAGGUGGGAGGCUUUGAAGUGUGGACGCCAGUCUGCAUGGAGCCGACCUUGAAAUACCACCCUUUAAUGUUUGAUGUUCUAACGU
rnacentral:rRNA from 1 species